AUUGAACGCUGGCGGCAGGCUUAACACCUGCAAGUCGAGCGAGCGGCGGACGGGUGAGUAAUGUCUGGGAAACUGCCUGAUGGAGGGGGAUAACUACUGGACACGGUAGCUAAUACCGCAUACCAUCAGAUGUGCCCAGAUGGGAUGAGCUAGUAGGUGGGGAAAUGGCUCACCUAGGCGACGAUCCCUAGCUGGUCUGAGUGGAUGACCAGCCAAACUGGAACUGAGACACGGUGCAGAGUCCGACGGGAGGCAGGAGUGGGGAAUAUUGCAAAAUGGGCGCAAGCCUGAUGCAGCCAUGCCGCGGGUGUGAAGAAGGCCGUCGGGUUGUAAAGCAAUUUCAGCGAGGAGGCGUUACUCGCAGAAGAAGCACCGGCUAACUCCGUGCCAGCAGCCGCAGUAAUAC
rnacentral:rRNA from 1 species